GACGAACGCUGGCGGCGUGCUUAACACAUGCAAGUCGAACGGAAAGGCCCUGCUUUUGUGGGGUGCUCGAGUGGCGAACGGGUGAGUAACACGUGAGUAACCUGCCCUUGACUUUGGGAUAACUUCAGGAAACUGGGGCUAAUACCGGAUAGGAGCUCCUGCUGCAUGGUGGGGGGUGGAAAGUUUCGGCGGUUGGGGGUGGACUCGCGGCUUAUCAGCUUGUUGGUGGGGUAGUGGCUUACCAAGGCUUUGGCGGGUAGCCGGCCUGAGAGGGUGACCGGCCACAUUGGGACUGGGAUCCGGCCCAGACUCCUACGGGAGGCAGCAGUGGGGAAUAUUGCACAAUGGGCGGAAGCCUGAUGCAGCAACGCCGCGUGCGGGAUGACGGCCUUCGGGUUGUAAACCGCUUUCGCCUGUGACGAAGCGUGAGUGACGGUAAUGGGUAAAGAAGCACCGGCUAACUACGUG
rnacentral:rRNA from 1 species